GCUGCGCCGCGCCGGGCGAGGUGGAAGGCGGGGAGGAUCGCGGCUGCGGGUUAGGCUUUGAAAGUCAGCCUCGCAGGCAUUGCAGCAGAGCCCCGAACCGCGGAGGGGAGCGGCGUAGAGCUCGGCUCGCUGUAUGAAGCAUGGAAUUGCUGAAAGAGAAAGUUAGUGCAUCCUUGGACUCCUGAAGGAAGAGCCUUCCUUAUGGGACCACUUUCAAGCAAGCCUGCCUCCUCCAGCCUCCCUGCUGACAAAUGGUGGUGGAUUAUAGAUGAGGACACGCUGACCCGUUCGACCUUGCUGAGACAGCGGGGAGGGGCCUCCUGCUACUUGAGGGAAGCUUUGGGUCAUUUAAAGGACAAGGUCAUGAGCCAGGUGGGGAAAUGACAUGAUAUCACAUGACAAUAGCCCGAUGACACGGUCAGUAUGUCAAGGACGAACUCAUCAGUAUUGAUUAUGCUGCUUUUUCAUAGCGUUUCUGUGAAGCCAUUGAUAUUUCAAAACUAUUUUGCUAAUUUAUUCUAGGUGAAGUGCCAAACGCUAUUUUCAGGGUUAUUUUUAGGAGUAUUUGCACAGUAUUUUCUCCUAAGCACUGAUCACAUACAAAAGCAGUGUUACUAAAACCCUGUCAAUAAUAAUUCAGAGGGUUCAGUUUGAUGGUUUUUGUAAAAUGUGCAUCUGCAGGGACUGUAAGGAAAAUACCAAGAAGGAAGAAAAUCUCUGCUUUUAAAUUUCAGCAUUGCACUUCUAAGUAGGAAUUAAAAGGCACGUGUAAUGAUCUUUGUGAUAACAUGCGUGUUUGCUUGUGUGUGGCUGACUGGAAUGUGGGGAAAGUCUUGACAUAAAAAGAACCAAAGAGAAAAGUGAAAUAUAAAUUGGGGUGUUUAAAGCAAAACUCUUCCAUUGGCUCAGGAGUGCUACAGUGAAGAUAAUGCUUAGCCUAUUUUAAGCACUAAUACAGCAUCCAGCUAUGCCAGCCAAUAAAAACCUGCUAAGUGGGUUUUAGAAAAUAUGUCGGGAAUACAAGUGACAGUAUUUUGAGAGCAUCUUCACGUUGCAUUUCGAUGCUAAUAAACUUCAAGGUAAAUGAACAGCUUGUUUGACAUUUGCGUGUUAGACAAUAAUAAAAUGCUUUCUUCAGGACUAAGUAGACUGCUGGGUUGGUUAUGUUAAGAGGUAAAGAUAAAUACAGUCGAAAAGAAAAGUCCCUUGAAGUUGUUACCCAUUUUUGAACUUGCAUGGUAUCAUUCUAUUUUAGCUCCUGCCCAGCAGUCUGUGUUGCACACGUGCCUGUGCAGCACACACACACACACACACACACACACAUGCACCAGCACAUAGGCACGUACGGAUACACGCAGCAGGAGCAGAGUUUCAGAAACAGUCUGCUAAGUACAGAGGGAAGUGUUCACUUCAGCACACGGUUCGCCUUUCUGUGAAAUGUGAUUUGGUGUUGGAUGCUGUUGUGUCUGAAUCUCGCCAGUUCACCAGGAUGUAAUUUUACUCCCCUGAGGUAAAAAGCCGUCAGUGGUAAAGUGUGAUAAAUUAGUUCACACAAAUAGAUGCGCGUGCGUGUGUGUGUGUUUAAUUCUGACCUUGCUGUGCAUGUGUUUAGCUGCUCUCGGUGCCCGAGUCAAGCCUGGUGGAGGUUUAAUCCCGUGCCCUUGUACACGUAUACUUGAUUAGUAGUUGUGGUUAUCUCGGCAGAAGACAUUCCGCCCUCCUCCUUGUAUUGGUCGGGACCCGGGCAUUGGGGAGUCAAGUCGAAGGAGAGAGAAAAGAGAUUUUGCAUUAGUAUUCUAUGAAAGCCUUACUGUCUGCAGAACAAAUUGAUUGCUACAGCGUACCUGUGCUUGGCACCACUGCUGUGAAAGAAAGGUAUGGUUGUAAUCUGUUUUAUUGUAUUACAUAUUGUGACACUCCAGGAAUGCUUAACGUUCAGCUCUUCUGUGGCACGUGCUGGAAGUCUAAGUGAAGAAAAAUAUGUGGAUGAAUGAAAAGUAUGUGAGCCUGUUGUAUCUGCAGCUUUGUUUACUACAAAGAACUCAGUAGCCCCUGCUAACGAGGCAGAUUUAUUGUAUAUGCCAAUGGCAACGUAAGAAGAUUGGCAGUGGAGUUCUGUUUUAUUUUCAGUUACAGCUGUAUCAGUAGUGGCUACAUGACUGUACAGAUAAAAUUCCAGUUAAUGCUUUAAUUGGG
rnacentral:lncRNA from 1 species